rnacentral:rRNA from 1 species
UUUCCCUCAGGAUAGCUGGCACUCGCUUGAGCGAGUCUCAUCUGGUAAAGCGAAUGAUUAGAGGCCUUGGGGCCGAAACGACCUCAACCUAUUCUCAAACUUUAAAUGGGUGAGAUCUCUGGCUUGCUUGAACGUUGAAGCCACGAGAUUUAUUUUGCAAUGGAUCAGAGUGCCAAGUGGGCCAAUUUUGGUAAGCAGAACUGGCGCUGUGGGA